rnacentral:lncRNA from 1 species
UCACCCGUAAGUCUUUUGUUUAUAUUUUCGAACAACCUAAUGAAGGCCAUGAUGAGGAUUUUUGUAAAUUUCAUCCAGUUAAAGUUUUAGAGACCAGCAUUAUCUUUUUUGAGGUAAGAACACGACUGGAUGAAUGCGUUGCAGCGAUAAGCAAUAUCAUUGUUUAGGGGGUUUAAUUUACAUAUUCACGGAUAUUAAAAUUUUUGUAGGUGGUGACUCUAGAAAUGAUAGGAGUAAGGAUAAAUAAGGAAUUGCAGGAUUAGGUUGGAGAGUUUUUUUUUUUAAGCACCGUCAAUAUUAAAAGAGAUAUAAUAACAAAAAUACCAGGAUAGCCCCAAAAGGAGGGUGAUUGGGUGAAGAA